GUCCAGAAUGCACUUUUUUUCUUUACCAGUGAUGGUGCCAUGACUCGGACAAAAUGCCGACUGCCCCUGGGCUCCUGCUUUCUUCACCCAACACGGUCUUCUCAGACUCCUUGCGCCUUUUCCUGGCUGGGGAAAUCGGGAUCCACAAUGGAUAUAAACUGCAUGACAGCAGGAUGCUUUUCUAUUUCAUCUGUGAAUUCCCAUUACCUACUUCAAACAUGACCUUCAAAUGAAGCAAAGGAUGAAGAAAAGAGGCCUAGAAUCCAAGCCAACAGCUUUGGAUCCCACCUUCUUCCAUUCAACAUCUAAGUGUCGCGUAUGAAAUAUUCACCAUAUUUGAGGUUUCAGAGAUGUACUUCACAGAGUGGUUCCACCGUAAAGCAUCUGAGACUUCAUCUGCCCUGCAAUUGCCUAGAAUACAGUAGGAGCUCAACAAAGGCUCAUUCCACGCUAAGAGUUGUGAAUCAGAAAGAUGAAUAAAAUACAAUGCCACCCUUCAAGGACUCACAUGCCACAGAAGAGGGAGAUAUUGAAACAAGUAACUGUAGAAUUGGGACUGAAGUGCUGUAGAAGGGUUUUGAACAAGAGAUACAGCUGUGACUUUCCUUGCUUGUGUCAGCGUCAGGAAAACAUUCACCUAGAGGUGAGUUCCAUGUGAGCUGGAUUUGAAGCUUGUGUUCUGAAUUUCCCAGCUAAGUAAAGAAUGACAGAUAUUGAUAGCAGGAGGAAGAGCAUGUGCAAAGAAGUGAAGGCCCAAGAAGGGUGUGUUUUCUCACCUACCUACCAAGAUAUCUUCUUGUCAACUUCCAGCAAGCAAAUAAGACAUUUACUGAUGGGUCCUGAGCAUUUUCAGCUCCAAGGAAAGUUCAAAUUACUGGAAUUAGAUAUGGUAAAUUAAGACUAUCAUGACAAUUUGACUUUAAGUCUUAUUUGUUGAAGAUGCAAGGCAGAGGAAAUAACCAUAUUGUGAGGGCAACACCCUUUCAAUCUCACAAAGACUAUGCUUAAUGACAUAAGAACAAAUCCAACAGCUGCGAUUCUGCCUUUAGCUCCAAGUAAAAGCUUGUCUUCUAUUUUUCCAAGCUAAAUGUGUCUACAGAGGCUUCCAGCUCAAAAUCAUCAUUUGCACAGAACUUGUACAACACUCCUUCUAAAAAACAUAAAAUUUUCUUUAUUUGAUCUUCACAAUUGUAGGAUGGUUAUAAUCCCCCAACCCCACUCCAUUUUGUAGUUGAAGAAACCAAAGCCCAGAGAAUUUAAAUAGCCUACCAGUUGUCAAUGAGUGAUGGAAUCCUGACUCAAGCCUACUUCAUUCUGCUUCUACACCAGUGUCCUGCUGGACUCUGCUCUCACUUCUUAGUUGGGAGAGGCCUGAGAGGACUGUUUGUGUCUGUUGGAGACACUCAGACCCUGAGGAGGCCCACGCAGGUGAGAGCAAAUAUUAAGAAAAAAAGAGAUGGUUGGAGUGAAGCCUUGCCUUUUCCCAGCAGACCGGGUCAGUGAAGGAGAAAGUGUGUAUCUCCGGACCAUCCCUAUUAUGGGCAGAAGUCUCACAGGGGCUACUACACCUCCAUGAGCUCAUGUGGCCCAGAAGGUGGCAUCCUAUAAGUGCGUAAGCUGAUGACUAUGACAAUUAACCCUGCAGGGGUUACACUGGCAGAGAUGUUCAUUCACACGUUAGAAUGGCUCCAGGUUGUAGGACAUUUCACAGGCUAGAGCAAAUAUUUCAUUUAUUUCACUAAAGUCUCUCCCUCUUUUCCUUUGUUUUGCAACUUAUACCUCAGAUUUGGGAUGGUGGAAUGGGGCUGAGAUUUUAGAGACUAUUCUCUGCCUAUUUUUAUUCUCUGGGUGACCAUGUCUGCAGAAGCCUUUUGCAAUAUUGGAGUACAGUUCCAGCACAACCCUGCCACCAAUCUAUGAGCUCUAUUUACCUUCAUAUGCCUAGUGAGCACAUCAUAGAUAUGCAGCAAAUAACGGCAGAAAUAAUAUGGAAUUAUUGUGUGAAGUCCAUAAAGUAUAUAUCAAGUUUUAUUGCAUGGCAUUAUGUUUACAAGCAAUGACUUGACUCAUAGAAUCUGCUUAAUAUGAAAUGUGUUGUAAUGGCCUGCUGCUGUUCCUUUAAAGUCUCGAGAGGACACCAUCUAAGGGAAACAGCUAAUAUCUUCUUUUUCUGAAAUGUCAUGCACUGCAUGCAUACACAAACACACACACACACACACAGUCCCCUUCAAUGAUAUGAGUUUUAGCAAGCUAUUGUUUGUUGAACAGUUUAGCAAGCUGUUGAGUCACUUCUCAUUUGCAGGCAGAUGCAUGGUCCUAAGAAAUGUGCAUGGGUUUUGGUGGUGUGUUAUGAGCCCUACAAUCUCCUAGCAUAUUAGUUGGGCAAGUUAUUUAACUCUGAGAUUCUAUAUUUGCAGCAAUAAGAUGGAAAUGAUAAUAGUCAUUGAGUUGCAAGGAACAAAUUAAGGAGUCAUAUUUCCUGAGUUCAAGUCCUUCCACUGCUAUCAUGGAUGCUAUAGACAAUGCUGUAACGGAUGCUAUAGUGCUCCACUCUGAUUCCUUCCAAGAACUGAGAAACUCAUGCCCACAGCUUCCAGGAGUAUGUGGGUUUUUGACAUCUCACAGCUGAGUUCCUCCCCAGAUACUGCCCUCCAUUUGCCAAAGAGAGCUGCCUUGCCCAGCACUCCUCUCCUGGGAACAGUCUGAAAGAGUUCAAACGUUUGAUCUUCUUUCUUCAAUUUAGCUCUGAAGAAUCACCUCAACUACAGAAAUGCUUCAGCUUCGUUGCAGCCACUUGUACCCAAUCCUGCUUCUCUCAACCCCUGACAAGUGCUGUUCAGAGAACACUUCCCCAUCAACUUUCUGCAAGAAAAUCUUCAAUUCAGAGUCUGUUUCCUGGACUCUUGGUUGUGCCUGUGAAAUUUACUGCUUAUAGCGGAUAGUUCUUCAGAGGUUCUUCAGAGAAGUGAUAGACAGUAAUAUCAGAGGACAGGAGAGAAGAUGUAUUUAGAUAAAGACUUCCUGGAGAGGGCACAAGUUGACCUUUGGAGUGACCAAGACUCACCCCCAGAUAGAAAGUUCAGCACUUUUGUUUGAGAGAGAGGGUGGAAAGAGCCUAAGCUGCAGAGUCUGGAAGACUUGAGUUUUAGUCAUAUCUUCAUCUAUGACUAGUUGUGUGACCCUGGAAAUCUUUCCUGGCCUCUCUGAGCUUUCAUUUUGUCAUUGUGAGACACCUCAUUGACUUGUAAAGAUUAAAGGAAACAUGAAACGUAUCUAGACCAAUAGCUGAUAGUAUGGUAGACAUUUAGCCAAUGGUGUUGAUUUGAGCUAACUCAAAUCUCUAGGUUAUAGUAAAAAAAAAAUGGCAAAAAAUUAAUUAACUUCUCCACUUUGUGCCUUAGAGAAGGAUAAGCCAAAGGAAGAAUUUGCUCUUGUCCUCAUAUCACAUAUUAUACCACACAUUCACACAUGCACACAUGCAAACACACAUGCACACAAACAGGCGUGAGCCACAAUCCACAGGGAAGGACUAUUUACAGUGCUUAGGCACCAUAAUAAACUUCUCCAUGAAGUACAGCAGUAGUGUUCUUAAUUAAAAUCUCUUAAGAACUCUUGUUGUUGACAAUAUCACCACCCAAAGCCAUAUUUACCUUGUUAAUUAUUCAAGUUACAGUGAAUAAGAAACAAUGCCCAGGCUACCCAUAAAAUUUCCAAAAAUUAAGCCAGGGAAAUGGGCAAUAAAUGUCAUUUGAAAUGGUACUGAUGCCAGUUAAUUACAAGACAACUGUAAAAUAAUGGGGCAUGAGGUACUUCAACAACGCCUAAUUAGUAACUAUACGGACAUUUUCUUGGAAAAAAUGGCAAUUACAUGGUGCAAACACUUAGCAGUCAUCAUCAAAGGCCCUUAACUAAUAUUAGCUAAUUAAUCUUCUCCACAAUACCCCAGCAGGAGGUAGCACAAGUCCCCAUGGAGAGAGGGAGAAGAGGAGGCCAGGAGAUGAAAUGGAAAAUCCUCUUCUGCUCAGCAUCUGUAAAGAAUGAUUUGGCACUAGCAGCCUAGAAGCACCCAGGGGGGAUCCCCAGGCAGGUAUAGACAGGUUGUUUUCUUAAUGAGUGGCAUGCCCAGGUGAUGCAUAAUGUUAGUGUGGUGAAUUCUUGCCUUCCUCUUGAUCUCCAGCCACGUCUCACAUCCCAGCUGACCCGGAGAACUCCUACACUGAAUUGCUGUAGCAGGCAUACGUGCACUCUUGCAUUUAUCAGCCCUUUCCCUUUUUCUAAGCAAGAAGGCUUUUUUUCCUCAAACAUAUAAAACCAAAGGUAAGGAGAAGGGAGUGGUCCCUAUUUCCAUAAAGCCAAGCUUAUUAUAUCAGGACAUGGUUCACAGCUUUGGCUUCAGCUCAACUAUAAGAUCUAGAAUUAUUUCAGGAGUAUGAUUGAUUUUGGUUAGGUGAAAAUAUUUUUUUUU